rnacentral:snoRNA from 13 species
CUUCCUCAGCCUGACUCCAGGGGCUUUGUUUUGUCUUGUGAAAUGCCCUGGUAUUGCCUGAGGAUAGACGAGAAAGCACAUGUCCUUCUCUGCCAAGACUCUGUUUUCUUUAAGGGCCUACGCGUUAAGCUGACAGU